UACGGGGGGGGCAAGCGUUGUUCGGAAUUACUGGGCGUAAAGGGCUCGUAGGUGGCCAACUAAGUCGGACGUGAAAUCCCUCGGCUUAACCGGGGAACUGCGUCCGAUACUGGUUGGCUUGAGUUUGGGAGAGGAAUGCGGAAUUCCAGGUGUAGCGGUGAAAUGCGUAGAUAUCUGGAGGAACACCGGUGGCGAAGGCGGCAUUCUGGACCGACAUUGACGCUGAGGCGCGAAAGCCAGGGGAGCAAACGGG
rnacentral:rRNA from 1 species